GUCGACUGCGCCAAACCCGUAACCAUGGUAACAGCAGUUCGCCCCCAGCACAAAACAGACUCCUUGUUUAAGUGGAGAAGUCAGGACCGGGUAUUUUUAAAAGUGUCACGGCGAGCAAAGUUAGCAGGAGGUUCGCUGGUGUCGUCCUCGCAACUCUUUUAUCAGUUGUUUGACUUUUUACAUUCAAGAAGUUGGCCGCUGCGAGAGCGUUUUCCUGUCGGUUCUGUCAACCAUCUGCCGCCUCGGGGGAAGCUGUCACGGAUGUCUGACAACAAGGGAGGUGGCUGUUUCCAAACUCAAGGGGAAGGACCCAUAAAGGUGUCUUACAUUUUCCCAAAUGGAGACAGAUACGAGGGCGAGUGCAGCAAGACUCCAUCAGGGGUGCUGAUGAGGGGUGGUGUUGGGAAACACACCUCACCAGAUGGUGUCACAUACAUCGGAGAGUGGCAUGACGACAAAAUGCAUGGUAGAGGGACCCUGAAGCAUCCCUCUGGUGCUUUAUAUGAAGGAGAAUUCAAAGACAACAUGUACCACGGCACGGGGACGUACACCUUCCCAGAUGGCUCUACUUACAAAGGUCAAUUUCAUGAGAACAGGUUGGAGGGAGAAGGGGCGUUCACUAACACACAUGGAUUGGUUUGGAUGGGGGAGUUCCACGGCAAAGCAGCACUCGGCCUGAAAAUGCAGCACAACAUAUUUCACCUUCCUGAAGAAGAAAAAUAAAUCCCCCUGUGAUGCAGAACACUGUGACUUUAAGAAGAAAAGAAGUACACUUCUAAUUGUGCCAGAAACAUUGUCAGACAAAAGAAAAAAUAGCCAUUCCAAAUACCAUAUUUAAAUGUGUGAACAGUGGCCAUGCACAUAUGCACAGAGAAGACUGAGGUCAAAAUUAUUGUUCUAUACAAAGAUAAUACAUGACUUCUUGACCCCCCCGAGUUUCAGACAUUCCCAGGGAAACACAGUCGGAGCUCUCGACUCUGGAAUCCCGCUUUAGGUAGUUGGAUGUGAAGAAACGACUAAGGUACAGUGAAGACAAACUAGAAAAACAGCACCAUUUUCGUGACAGCUGUGUUCUUCCAAAGCAAGGGGUGGCGAAGUGCUCACCAAGGCCACCACCAAGGGGGCUCAGUGGUUUACAUAUUGUGCUGUUUGUUGGGCAAAUAGAGAGACAGUCAGCGGGUUGAAGCAGAGUAGAUAGCUUAACAUUUCUGGUCAUUGCUAAUAGCCGCCGAUGGUUCCACAGUGAAGCUGGUGGGGAGGUUAACAGAAAUGUAAAUUUGCCAAAGCAAGCAGUUAAGUCUUCAUUUUUAAAGUCCUUCCGCUAAUAAAUCCCCCAAAAUCCAAUCAAAUAGAGAGUGGCAGGGCUGAAAAGUUAGCAUCAAUCUGGACCCCUCAAUGAGAAAGGAUGAGAAACUUUGUGGUAAACACAUUUAUAACAAGGUUAUAUUUGGUUAAGGUUAUAUAUAUAUAUAUAUAUAUAUAUGCAUAAAGACACGUUACACCUAGUUGCCAACAUAUAAAGGGCUCAUUAAAGUGAAACUCUCGCCAAAAUGCAACCUAGGGUCUUUUUGUGAAUGUACCCGAGUCAAACCUUCGUAUAAAAGCAAACAGCCCACCCCAAACAGCCACAGGGGGCAACAAUAAGCCCAUUCCACACUCAAAAUCAAACAGCAGAGUGUCACAAAAAGAGAGAUUACAUCUUAAUCUGAGCAAUUUUUAAAUUGUAUUUUCGGUUUUAAAAGAGAAAAGUGACACUUUGGUUGUUUAGGUAACAUUGCCUCUGUUAAAGAGCAGCGCAGAGCUUCACUAUGGAACCAUAACAGGAUGUACCGGCGUAUUUGAUAUGUGAGCAUCUACAAAUCCUCGAUGACAUCAGUGAUUAACAGGUUCGGUUUCUGUGACUUCUGGAUUUGAAAUUCAAAGAUACCAAAGUUUCGAAGAUGCCUAGAAUAGGAUUCUAUAAAAGCUAAAUGUUCUAUUUACCUAAACCUGUAAAAGAGAACAGACAGGAUCCAGUUUCUUCCAGAGGAUUCUUCCUUCAAACCAUCCUCUCCACAUGUGCCCAUUUCUUCCCGUUUCUACACACACAUACUUUUUACAAUCACGAACAAACCCAUACACUUAUAGCUGGUAUAUUUCCAUUUUCUUUUUUUCUUUUUUUUUGGUGAUAUAUUAUGCGAGAUCAAGUAAUACUGUAGCUCCCACUUGCUUCUUCAUUUGGACUAUCAAAAAUGACCCUGUGGUUUGCUUCCAAAAGGCCUUUUUUUUUCUUAGAAAAUACAUAAGAAAAACUUUCAAAUCUGUCACUGACAAUCUAAAACCCCGUACCUACAGUAGGCUUUGUGUUAACAUAAAAAAAAAAAAAAAACGAUUAUAAACCAUUGACAUUUACAUC